AGCUCCAAUAGCGUAUGCUAAAGUUGUUACAGUUAAAAAGCUCGUAGUCGGAUUUUUCGUUGUCUACUUUGAAGGUUGCUUCAAUUAAUGGUGGGGAAAUCUCUCCACCGGGCAAUCAGUAGGCAAUAUCAUUUUUGGUAAAUUUCUGGUUGUCCAUUCACUUGGGCAGCUAUAAAAAGUGUGGGCGCAAGUUUGCACUGAAAUUACCAAUCUUUUACUGUGAAGAAACUUGAGUGUUCAAAGCAAGCAUUCUCCUGCCUGAAAAAUUCAGCAUGGGAUAAUGAAAUAGGCUUACGCGUCUAUUUUUGCCGGUUUUCGGACUUUUGCGUGAGAAUGGUCGAUAGGGGCGAUCGGGGACACUCGUACCCAGCGGUCAGAGGUGAAAUUCUUGGAUUCGCGGGAGACGAACUUAUGCGAAAGCGUUUGUCAAGGGCGCUUUCU
rnacentral:rRNA from 1 species